GGGGGCGAAUUGGAUUCGACCGGAUUGUUUGAAGUUCUAGUGGCGUACCGAGGUUGGUCAGUUGGCCUCGUUAAAAGCUGACCAAAAAACUUUAAUUGCAGAUGAAAGUCUAGCAUUGGCUGCGUAAGAAAACGCAGUCCCGGUUGAUAAGCUUCGUCGGAGAGCUUUGAAAAUCGGUCACCAAUUCCGAAUCGCAAUGGUUCAUGCCUGGCACGAUCAUUGUUAAACACGUUCCGGGUUAACCGAAAGUCGAGCCUGUCGAUGGGCGCUUCCAAGGCUACAACUAAAUAAUCGACUACGUGCGUAGAAACUAUUGCGGAUACUUCGCGGGACGCGGGUUCGAUCCCCGCCGCCUCCACUA
rnacentral:tmRNA from 1 species